CUCAAAGAGGAGACAGAGGGCGACAUCAUCCAGUAGGCGGGGCUCUCCUUCUGCACUGUGUUCAACCAUUGUGUCAAUAAUAAGUGCUGCUGUGAAGAGAACAAUUCUCAGACUGAAUGUUGAACAUCAGCUAGUUUCUCCUGUUGAUUUAAACCUUGUUGUACAGAUGGAACAUUGGCUGUGGAUUAUUCUUGCUGCUCUUUUCUUUGAGUGUAAAGGAGAAGACAAAGUGAUCCAGGAACAAGGAGAUGUCAUUGCUGCUGAAGGAGACACAGUUACACUUGGAUGUAGAUAUGAAACCAGUGACCCAGGCCCGACUUUAUUCUGGUACAAACAGGAUGGAAACAACAGCCCCAAAUUCAUCCUGAGCCGUGUUAGCAGGGAUGAUGGAAACACAGCAGAUGAGUUCAGGGAGAGAUUUUCAUCCACACUGGAUUCCAGCAUCAGAUCAGUUCCUCUGAAGAUCCAGAAGCUUCAGCUGUCUGACUCUGCUGUGUACUACUGUGCUCUGCAGCCCACAGUGACAGGAAACAGCAAAACU